rnacentral:lncRNA from 1 species
UCAAGGCAAAGUUUGGGGACUAGAAUGCAAUAAUCCAAAAGUUGAAUUGGAUCAAAGAACGAUGAGUUGAGAACACCAAGAUUCAAUUGGAGUUGAAGAGAAGCUAAUGGGACAAGAAAUUUUGGGAAAGGACCAAAACACACACUUCAGAAAGUUUAGGGACCAAAUUGCAAAUUGGCCCCUAAAAUAGUUGAACUGUGCGUACGCAUAGGCU